rnacentral:rRNA from 1 species
AGAGUUUGAUCAUGGCUCAGGAUUAACGCUGCGGUAUGCCUAACACAUGCAAGUCGAACGGAAUACUAAUUAAGAGAAUCUCACACUAGUGAGAGGUUCUCACGAGUAGUAUUUAGUGGCGGACGGGUGAGUAACACGUUGGAACCUGCCCCGAAGUGGGGGAUAACUGCUCGAAAGAGUAGCUAAUACCCCAUAGUAUCCGGUUUAUCCGGAUUAAAGAUUUAUCGCUUCGGGAGGGGCCUGCGUCUGAUUAGCUAGUUGGUGAGGUAAAAGCUCACCAAGGCGACGAUCAGUAGCUGGUUCGAGAGGAUGACCAGCCACACUGGGACUGAGAUACGGCCCAGACUCCUACGGGAGGCAGCAGUGAGGAAUCUUCCACAAUGGGCGCAAGCCUGAUGGAGCAAUACCGCGUGCAGGAAGACGCUUUUCGGAGUGUAAACUGCUUUUGUCGUCGAAGAUUAUGACUGUAGACGAAGAAUAAGGACCGGCUAACUACGUG